rnacentral:rRNA from 1 species
GACGGAGGAUGCAAGUGUUAUCCGGAAUCAUCGUGGCGUAAAGCGUCUGUAGGUGGUCAAAUAAGUCAACUGUUAAAUCUUGAGGCUCAACCUCAAAAUCGCAGUCGAAACUAUUAGACUAGAGUAUAGUAGGGGUAAAGGGAAUUUCCAGUGGAGCGGUGAAAUGCGUAGAGAUUGGAAAGAACACCGAUGGCGAAGGCACUUUACUGGGCUAUUACUAACACUCAGAGACGAAAGCUAGGGUAGCAAAUGGG